CGGAUUCUGGCUCAGGAUGAACGCUAGCUACAGGCUUAACACAUGCAAGUCGAGGGGCAGCAUGAGAUUAGCUUGCUAAUCUUGAUGGCGACCGGCGCACGGGUGCGUAACACGUAUCCAAUCUACCCAUGGCUCGGGGAUAGCCUUUCGAAAGAAAGAUUAAUACCCGAUGGUCUGCGAUUGAGACAUCUCGAUUGCAGUAAAGACUUGUCGGCGAUGGAUGGGGAUGCGUCCGAUUAGCUAGUUGGCGGGGUAACGGCCCACCAAGGCAACGAUCGGUAGGGGUUCUGAGAGGAAGGUCCCCCACACUGGAACUGAGACACGGUCCAGACUCCUACGGGAGGCAGCAGUGAGGAAUAUUGGUCAAUGGGCGAUGGUCUGAACCAGCCAAGUAGCCGUGAGGGACGACGGCCCUACGGGUUGUAAACCUCUUUUGUAUGGGAAUAAAGUGAGGCACGUGUGCCUUUUUGUAUGUACCUUACGAAUAAGCAUCGGCUAAUUCCGUGCCAGCAGCGGC
rnacentral:rRNA from 1 species